GAAUUAAAAUAUAUAUAUCAGGUCACCAAGGACGGCAUAGCACGCCCCCACCAUCCUUAAGGGGUUAAAGAACAUGGAAACUUCACCUAGACCACUUAAUUCAGAUAAAGUGGUCUGGGUGACUACAGUGUUCCGUUAAGUGAAUACAAUGGAAUGUGGUGUUAGCUUUUGAAAUACAGCAUUGCAGAAAGUGGGUACAUUCUGAAAGAAGCAGGUCAUAGCACAUAAUCAUUGUGUCAAACAGAAUUUUAUUUGCAGCAAUGACCAUGCUUCAUCCAGCUACUAUUACAGCAGUGUCCCUAAUCCCUAUCUACAACUGCAGAAAUGGCACUCAACUACAGCAGUAACAGGAACCAUGGAGACAACAGCAGAAGAAGCAGUAAUAGAGAUUCACACAAUUGCAGGAAUCCAAAUGAUGGCAGAGGCAGCAGCAAUCCAUGCAGUACAAAGCUUAAAACACCAGUGGCAGUGCACAGGUCCCGCAGUCCAACUGCAGCAGAGACAAUAAUCCAUAUGGCGGCAUUAGCAGCGCUCUACUGGUAAUGUAGGCCAUGCAGUGCUAUGAUAGUGUUAGCACAUAGCAGCAGGAAAUUAUUGUAAGGUGGUUUUGGACACAAGUAAGGGCCAUAUGCUGCUGGUGUGGACUGCCCAUGACCAGACCCUGAAAAUGCUCCUUAAAACAUCGGAAAAAGCAGCAGAGAUCCAUCCUCCAUAAACCAUUAUUCAGAAACAACCAAUCUGGAAUUAAAUCAUAAUGGUUUGUUAAGCAAAGUACAAUUCGAACAACGUGUAUGUUUAAUGGAAUGAGAAGUGCAUACAGAUACUUAUCCAUCAGGUAAAACCAUAAGGAAGGCAUUUGAUUGGCUCUGAAUGUAUUCUGCAGCAUGACCCUAAACAUAC